rnacentral:rRNA from 1 species
GAAAGUGACGGUACCUGCAGAAGAAGCACCGGCUAACUACGUGCCAGCAGCCGCGGUAAUACGUAGGGUGCGAGCGUUGUCCGGAAUUAUUGGGCGUAAAGAGCUUGUAGGCGGUUUGUCGCGUCUGCUGUGAAAAUCCGGGGCUCAACCCCGGACUUGCAGUGGGUACGGGCAGACUAGAGUGUGGUAGGGGAGACUGGAAUUCCUGGUGUAGCGGUGAAAUGCGCAGAUAUCAGGAGGAACACCGAUGGCGAAGGCAGGUCUCUGGGCCAUUACUGACGCUGAGAAGCGAAAGCAUGGGGAGCGAACAGGAUUAGAUACCCUGGUAGUCCAUGCCGUAAACGUUGGGAACUAGGUGUGGGUCUCAUUCCACGAGGUCCGUGCCGCAGCUAACGCAUUAAGUUCCCCGCCUGGGGAGUACGGCCGCAAGGCUAAAACUCAAAGGAAUUGACGGGGGCCCGCACAAGCGGCGGAGCAUGUGGAUUAAUUCGAUGCAACGCGAAGAACCUUACCAAGGCUUGACAUAUACCGGAAACAUCCAGAGAUGGGUGCCCCGCAAGGUCGGUAUACAGGUGGUGCAUGGUUGUCGUCAGCUCGUGUCGUGAGAUGUUGGGUUAAGUCCCGCAACGAGCGCAACCCUCGUUCUAUGUUGCCAGCACGUGAUGGUGGGGACUCAUAGGAGACUGCCGGGGUCAACUCGGAGGAAGGUGGGGAUGAGGUCAAAUCAUCAUGCCCCUUAUGUCUUGGGCUUCACACAUGCUACAAUGGCCGGUACAAAGGGCUGCGAAACCGUGAGGUGGAGCGAAUCCCAAAAAAC